GAAACAAGAAAAAACAGACGACUACUUUUUCCAGCUUUGUGCCAUUUCUUUCGCCUCUUUUUCACCACCUUUCACCUUCUCGCCGGGAAACGCCGUACGCGGUGGCUAUUUUCACCGGCCGGAAUCGGAAGAGAUUCCGAUUAUUCGAAUGCUCAAAGGGCUUUUUUGUCUUCUAAUUCACCGGCUCAUUUUUUUCCCGGCGGCGGGAAAUUUGUUUAAUUUUAACGGUGAUAAAUGGAGACAAAUUCUCUUCUACAACGGUA
rnacentral:misc_RNA from 1 species